rnacentral:rRNA from 1 species
AUUAGAUACCCUGGGUAGUCCACGCAGUAAACGAUGAAUACUAAUUGUCCGGGCAGAAUGGUGCCUGGGUGAUACAGCGAAAGCGUUAAGUAUUCCACCUGGGGAGUACGCCGGCAACGGUGAAACUCAAAGGAAUUGACGGGGGCCCGCACAAGCGGAGGAACAUGUGGUUUAAUUCGAUGAUACGCGAGGAACCUUACCCGGGCUCAAACGACACAGGAAUACUUUUGAAAGGAGGUAGCCAGCAAUGGUCUGUGUCGAGGUGCUGCAUGGUUGUCGUCAGCUCGUGCCGUGAGGUGUCGGCUUAAGUGCCAUAACGAGCGCAACCCCUGCCGGCAGUUGCUAACGGGUAAAGCCGAGGACUCUGCCGGGACUGCCGGCGCAAGCCGCGAGGAAGGCGGGGAUGACGUCAAAUCAGCACGGCCCUUACGUCCGGGGCGACACACGUGUUACAAUGGGUGGCACAGAGGGAAGCCAGGUGGCGACACCGAGCGGAACCCGAAAUCCACUCUCAGUUCGGAUCGGAGUCUGCAACCCGACUCCGUGAAGCUGGAUUCGCUAGUAAUCGCGCAUCAGCCAUGGCGCGGUGAAUACGUUCCCGGGCCUUGUACACACCGCCCGUCAAGCCAUGGGAGCCGAGGGCGCUUGAAGUGCGUCGCCGCGAGGCGCGCCCUAGAGCGAAAUCGGUGACUGGGGCUAAGUCGUAACAAGGUAUC